ensembl:lncRNA
CUGAAAACAUCAGGGGCCCUCAGGUCUCUCUCUUCCAUCAGUCAGUUCCACUGGGUCCCACCAAGCCGCACCUACAAUCCCAAUCCGUCCUUCCGACGGCCUCCUCCCUGGGGGGGGGGGGGUGGCUCCCUGCACGCUCCCAGCUCUGCCCCUGCCCGGACUGCACCCUGUCUGUGACUCCUCUCCGCUGCAGCUGCCGGGCCUGAGCUGAGCGCCCCACUUCCCACGGUAGAGUGCUGCGGACCCUGCGCGGGAGAGGGCGCUCAGGCAGAGAAAAGGGCACCUUGGGACAGACGCCCACCCUCGGGAGAUGAGGGUCUCGCUAUGUAGUCCUGGCUGACCUUGAACUCACUAUGUAGCCCAGGCUGGCCUCAAACUCUCCACGAUUCUCCUGCUUCAGCCUUCUGAGUGCUGGGAUUGCAGGCACCACCACCAGGCCCACCUCUGGCUUCAACCUUUUUAAGGCUCUCGGUGACUGGACCCUGGCCACACUCAGCAUUCGCCCCAUAUCUGAUCCGAGUCUACAGAUGGCUUCCUCUCACCGCAGCCGGCCCAGCUCCCUGCAGGCAGGCGGCUGCGUCAGGCCCGGGACCUGGGCCUCAGCAGCUGUGCCUCCUCCGCGUGGCAUCCAAGACCUGGCGGGCUGGCGGGGUCCGGGUCAGAAUUCCAUGGGCGUGUAGCCCACAGCGGCUCUCUGCAAAAUCAAUCAGACGACACUCUCCGUUCUCCUUCGCUGCUAGCUUUCCGCGGUGCAGCCUAGGAUUAUGUUUAACAUUGCUUGAUGCCGGGCGGUGUUGUACGUGUGUGUGCGCGUGUGCAAGGGCUUCUGUGCUUUAGAACAAGUGUUAACGGUCGCUUUGGUUUCCAGAAGCCCAUUCUGGUAAACCACGUUGCAAGUUCAGCCGUAACAACACUUAGGUUCGGCGAUUCCGUUGCUGGGACCCGAGGUCCCUAAUGACUUCUGUCCUUUGAACAAAUGCUGCCUCCCGCGGAGGGCUGAGGGGUGGGAGCGACCCUUGCCGCCCCUUCCGGCCACAGCAGCGCCCCCGAGGCCACACCCCCCA